rnacentral:rRNA from 1 species
GAUGAACGCUGGCGGCGUGCCUAAUACAUGCCAGUCGAGCGAACAGAUGAGGAGCUUGCUCCUCUGACGUUAGCGGCGGACGGGUGAGUAACACGUGGAUAACCUACCUAUAAGACUGGGAUAACUUCGGGAAACCGGAGCUAAUACCGGAUAAUAUAUUGAACCGCAUGGUUCAAUAGUGAAAGACGGUUUUGCUGUCACUUAUAGAUGGAUCCGCGCCGCAUUAACUAGUUGGUAAGGUAACGGCUUACCAAGGCAACGAUGCGUAGCCGACCUGAGAGGGUGAUCGGCCACACUGGAACUGAGACACGGUCCAGACUCCUACGGGAGGCAGCAGUAGGGAAUCUUCCGCAAUGGGCGAAAGCCUGACGGAGCAACGCCGCGUGAGUGAUGAAGGUCUUCGGAUCGUAAAACUCUGUUAUUAGGGAAGAACAAAUGUGUAAGUAACUAUGCACGUCUUGACGGUACCUAAUCAGAAAGCCACGGCUAACUACGUG